rnacentral:rRNA from 1 species
AUUGAACGCUGGCGGCAGGCCUAACACAUGCAAGUCAGGUGAGCGGCGGACGGGUGAGUAAUGUAUGGGGAUCUGCCUUAUGGCGGGGGAUAACUACUGGAAACGGUAGCUAAUACCGCAUACCAUCAGAUGAACCCAUAUGGGAUUAGCUCGUAGGUAAGGUAACGGCUUACCUAGGCGACGCGCCCUCGCUGGUCUGAGAGGAUGAUGAUCCACAAUGUGACGGAGACACGGCCCAGACUCCUACGGGAGGCAGCAGUGGGGAAUAUUGCACAAUGGGCGCAAGCCUGAUGCAGCCAUGCCGCGUGUAUGAAGAAGGCCUUCGGGUUGUAAAGUACUUUCAGUUGGGCGGCGUUACCGACAGAAGAAGCACCGGCUAACUCCGUGCCAGCAGCCGCGGUAAUAC